rnacentral:rRNA from 1 species
GUGAACGCUGGCGGUAGGCCUAACACAUGCAAGUCGAACGGCAGCACAGUAAGAGCUUGCUCUUCCGGGUGGCGAGUGGCGGACGGGUGAGGAAUACAUCGGAAUCUACUUUUUCGUGGGGGAUAACGUAGGGAAACUUACGCUAAUACCGCAUACGACCUACGGGUGAAAGCAGGGGAUCUUCGGACCUUGCGCGAUUGAAUGAGCCGAUGUCGGAUUAGCUAGUUGGCGGGGUAAAGGCCCACCAAGGCGACGAUCCGUAGCUGGUCUGAGAGGAUGAUCAGCCACACUGGAACUGAGACACGGUCCAGACUCCUACGGGAGGCAGCAGUGGGGAAUAUUGGACAAUGGGCGCAAGCCUGAUCCAGCCAUACCGCGUGGGUGAAGAAGGCCUUCGGGUUGUAAAGCCCUUUUGUUGGGAAAGAAAAGCAGCAGGUUAAUACCCCGCUGUUCUGACGGUACCCAAAGAAUAAGCACCGGCUAACUUCGCG